rnacentral:rRNA from 1 species
UACAGAGGGUGCAAGCGUUGUUCGGAAUUAUUGGGCGUAAAGAGCUCGUAGGCGGUCUGUCGCGUCGGCUGUGAAAACCCGGGGCUCAACCCCGGGCCUGCAGUCGAUACGGGCAGACUAGAGUGCGGUAGGGGAGACUGGAAUUCCUGGUGUAGCGGUGAAAUGCGCAGAUAUCAGGAGGAACACCGGUGGCGAAGGCGGGUCUCUGGGCCGUAACUGACGCUGAGGCGCGAAAGCUAGGGGAGCGAACAGG